rnacentral:rRNA from 1 species
UACGGAGGGUCCAAGCGUUAUCCGGAAUCAUUGGGUUUAAAGGGUCCGUAGGCGGUUUUGUAAUGUCAGUGGUGAAAGCCCAUCGACUCAACGGUGGAACGGCCAUUGAUACUGCAAGACUUGAAUUAUUAGGAAGUAACUAGAAUAUGUAGUGUAGACGGUGAAAUGCUCAGAGAUUACAUGGAAUACCAAUUGCGAAGGCAGGUUACUACUAAUUGAUUGACGCUGAUGGACGAAAGCGUGGGGAGCGAACAGG